AUUGAACGCUGGCGGCAGGCUUAACACAUGCAAGUCGAGCGGGGUGAUGGUGCUUGCACUAUCACUUAGCGGCGGACGGGUGUGUAAUGCUUAGGAAUCUGCCUAUUAGUGGGGGACAACAUCUCGAAAGGGAUGCUAAUACCGCAUACGUCCUACGGGAGAAAGCAGGGGAUCACUUGUGACCUUGCGCUAAUAGCUGAGCCUAAGUCGGAUUAGCUAGUUGGUGGGGCAAAGGCCUACCAAGGCGACGAUCUGUAGGGGGUCUGAGAGGAUGAUCCGCCACACUGGGACUGAGACACGGCCCAGACUCCUACGGGAGGCAGCAGUGGGGAAUAUUGGACAAUGGGGGGAACCCUGAUCCAGCCAUGCCGCGUGUGUGAAGAAGGCCUUAUGGUUGUAAAGCACUUUAAGCGAGGAGGAGGCUCUUUUGGUUAAUACCCAAGAUGAGUGGACGUUACUCGAAGAAUAAGCACCGGCUAACUCUGUGCCAGCCGCCGCCGUAA
rnacentral:rRNA from 1 species